UCCAUAUCCACCUUGUGUGCAAUGUCAGUCGAUCUUCUUCAUGGAGAUCGACCAAACAUCAACCUUUAUCUUUUAACUCUUUGUCUGAAAAAUAUUAUGAAUAAACAAUUCAAAAUACAACUUUCAACAACGGAUCUCUUGGCUCUCGCAUCGAUGAAGAACGCAGCGAAAUGCGAUACGUAAUGUGAAUUGCAGAAUUCAGUGAAUCAUCGAAUCUUUGAACGCAUAUUGCGCUCUUUGGUAUUCCGAAGAGCAUGCUUGUUUGAGUAUCAGUAAACACCUCAAAGCUUUUGGAUUUUUUUUCGAAAAGCUUUGGACUUGAGCAAUCCCAACACCAAUCUUUUUGAGAUCGGUGGCGGGUUGCUUGAAAUGCAGGUGCAGCUGGACAUUCUCCUGAGCUAAAAGCAUAUUCAUUUAGUCCCGUCAAACGGAUUAUUACUUUUGCUGCAGCUAACAUAAAGGGAGUUUGACCGUAUUGGCUGACUGAUGCAGGAUUUCACAAGGGUCGGCAACGAUUCUUGUUAAACUCGAUCUCAAAUCAAGUAAGACUACCCGCUGAACUUAAGCAUAUCAAU
rnacentral:rRNA from 1 species